rnacentral:rRNA from 1 species
GAUGAACGCUAGCGGCAUGCCUAAUACAUGCAAGUCGAACGGUUGGUCGCAAUACCACUAGUGGCGCACGGGUGCGUAACGCGUAACCAACCUGCCCCGAUCUGCGGGAUAGCCCGCCGAAAGGCGGAUUAAUACCGCAUAUACCCGCAGCCUGGCACCACGCAACGGGGGAAGAUUUAUUGGAUCGGGAUGGGGUUGCGUGACAUGAGCUAUGGGGCGGGGUAAGGGCGCAGCAAGGCGACGAUGUCUAGGGGACCUGAGAGGGUGGGCCCCCCCGCGGGAACUGAGAUACGGGGCAGAAGCCUAGGCGAGGAAGCCGUAGGGAAGAAGGGGCGGGGAGCGAGAGCCUAACCGAGCAAGGCCGAGUGAGGGAUGAAGGCCGUGGGGGUUGUAACCGGUGUUUGUAAGGGAAGAAAAAGACCUAGCGAGGUACAGUGACGGUACCUGAGGAAUAAGCACCGGCUAACUCCGUG